UGAGAUAUCUCUUGUACCUUUCUUGCAGCCACAGCUUGAAUCUGGUGACAAAAUUAUCAUGCCACCUUCAGCACUUGAUCGUCUUGCAUCUCUGCAUAUUGAAUACCCUAUGCUAUUUGAAGUCCGUAAUACAGCAGCAGAACGUACUUCACACUGUGGUGUCCUAGAGUUCAUUGCAGAAGAAGGCAUGAUCUACAUGCCA